ACGUAAUAGAUACCCCGGUAGUCCACGCCCUAAACGAUGUCUACUAGUUGUCGGGUCUUAAUUGACUUGGUAAACGCAGCUAAACGCGUGAAAGUAGACCGCCUGGGGAGUACGGUCGCAAGAUUAAAACUCAAAGGAAUUGACGGGGACCCGCACAAGCGGUGGAUGAUGUGGAUUAAUUCGAUGCAACGCGAAAAACCUUACCUACCCUUGACAUGGAUGGAAUCCUUGAGAGAUUGAGGAGUGCUCGAAAGAGAACCAUUACACAGGUGCUGCAUGGCUGUCGUCAGCUCGUGUCGUGAGAUGUUGGGUUAAGUCCCGCAACGAGCGCAACCCUUGUCAUUAGUUGCUACGAAAGGGCACUCUAAUGAGACUGCCGGUGACAAACCGGAGGAAGGUGGGGAUGACGUCAAGUCCUCAUGGCCCUUAUGGGUAGGGCUUCACACGUCAUACAAUGGUACAUACAGAGGGCCGCCAACCCGCGAGGGGAGCUAAUCCCAGAAAGUGUAUCGUAGUCC
rnacentral:rRNA from 1 species